rnacentral:lncRNA from 1 species
GGGACUGUUAGUCUUGGGAUAAUUACUUUCUUUCCAGGCCCAGACUCUGGAGUACUUGCAGUGACCGCUCUGUUUCCUGCUCAUGUGUCUCAGGACAGGCUUCUGCUGCCCACCAAUGGCGAGUCUGCACAGCUGGAAGGCCACCCACAUGCGCUUGUGUGUUACUGGCUAUCUCUCAUCUUCUACUGAGCCAAUUUGAGUUUGCCUGUUGAGCACUCUGUGUUCCUAAGACCGAUCUGGGCACCUCUUCCAAGUUAAGAGCGAGGAAGCUAAGGACGACGAUGAUGUGUGACAAAGGCAGUGGAGUCGUAGUCAGGCUGUUGACUCAGAAGGUCUCCAUCUCAUGUCAAGUCCAAACAAGCAGAGCCCAG